CCGGGGAGGGUCAUUGGAAACUGGGAGACUUGAGUGCAGAAGAGGAGAGUGGAAUUCCAUGUGUAGCGGUGAAAUGCGUAGAUAUAUGGAGGAACACCAGUGGCGAAGGCGGCUCUCUGGUCUGUAACUGACGCUGAGGCUCGAAAGCGUGGGGAGCAAACAGGAUUAGAUACC
rnacentral:rRNA from 1 species